GGGCCAAGCCUCCUGGCCGAAGUCUAGCCGUAAGGGUAUAGGGGUUUAUACCCCCACAGGGGUGCAUCUAGGGGUGGCGACAACACUUAGACCUUUAUAUACAGCCGCUGCGACUCUCGUUAGGUUUUGGGUUUUCCUUAGAUUAUUCUGUCAAGAAUAGUUUCAUCGUUUUGUCUGUUUGUGAGACCCCAACUCAUGAGAUUAAUAUUUCAUUUAUAAAUUGGUUGCAUUCUUCCUUGUUCUUACUUGAGUUCUUCAAUUCACAGGCAAAGGACUUAGCCUUCUUGGCGAGGUCAACCACGCAGCGCCGGUUGAUAACCAUAGGAGACGUGGUGCUGCGAUUGCGGGGUUUUAGAUCGUGUUGUUUGGAAGCCGGGUUGAUUUUUGUCUCGUUUCCAUCAAAUUGAGAGUUGCCAUAACCUUUUGGAAGAUUGGGCCACCCUUGUUCACAUCAUUCCCUAGCCAGAUUGGGGCCUGGUGGUGGUGGAUCCGGCCAGCGCGCGUCUUUGGUGAUGGGGCACGAGCAUGGCCCCCACGGAUAGCGGUGGCUCCUCCAAAUCGAGCUGCCCUGGCGACGGCGACGAGCAGGGGCGUAGGUGAUGAGGCCUAGAUCUAGGCUCGGUAGGGCCAUGGGGUUUUCUUUUUUUGUUUUUUAUUUGAUUUACCGAGACAGGCAUCAAACCAUCUCGGAAAAGGUCUCAUUUACAGUGACCUUUCGUCCGAGGCGGUGGUGAUGCCCGCCUCGGUAAAUCGAAUAUGCCCGCCUCGAUAAAGUUUUUAUGUAGUAGUUGGUUUUUGGCCUCCUCGCUCACCCAAUCUCUUGAAUUGACAAAUUUGACCUUGGAAUCUUAGAUUUGAUCCAUAGAUCUUUGCUAGCAAGAUAAUCUCUCUUCUCUCCUCAUUUUUAUGCAUUAAUUUGGUAUAUAAUGAUCUAAAUAAUAUUUUAUGCAUUCAUGGUGGGUGGCAUUGACUUUUUACGCAUUGAAUUGAUGAGUUUAUAUCUUCGAUAUGUCACCUAAUAAUGAUCUAAAUAAAUUUGCUAAUUACCUUGCUUAACUACAUCACAUAAUCUAAAUAACUAUUUGAACUUGCGAGCAGACAGGGGCGCGAGACAGUGUGCCGGCGUGCGGCCAACGGUGGUCGGCAGCCUCUUGUGCUACCAAGGGUGUCAACAGACAGAGGAGGUGAGGGCGUCGGUUGCUUAGGAUGACGACAGGGGGGCAAGGGCGGCCGAGGGAGCGGGCAAUAGCGACUGUCGAGAUGCUAUGAUGGCGCGGGCACAUGAAGGUGGAGGAGGCGCGGUGGCUUGACGACGACGGCGGGGAGAGAGGGAGAAACAGAGAGUUCAAGAGAGAGGGUGAGAUAGAAGCGUGGCUUGUCUGGUUAGGUUAACUAUCUCAGCAUCAGGAUAUGUGGUUAGGAGCUCCAACCUAUAUAUUUUAGUGCCGAGCUCGGAGCCACAGAUCUUGGCUCUAAGCUCGAAGCCAAGAUGUGUGGCUCCAAGCUAUU
rnacentral:lncRNA from 1 species